UGGGGGUCAGUGAGAGAAUUAUGUACUAGACUGGUGGGGGUCAGGGAGAGAGUUGAGUUAUGUACUAGACUGGUGGGGGUCAGGGAGAGAGUUGAGUUAUGUUCUAGACUGGUGGGGUCAGGGAGAGAGUUGAGUUAUGUUCUAGACUGGUGGCGGUCAGCGAGAGAGGUGAGUUAUGUACUAGACUGGUGGGGGUCAGGGAGAGAGUUAUGUACUAGACUGGUGGGGGUCAGGGAGAGAGUUGAGUUAUGUUCUAGACUGGUGGGGGUCAGUGAGAGAGUUAUGUACUAGACUGGUGGGGGUCAGGGAGAGAGUUGAGUUAUGUUCUAGACUGGUGGGGUCAGGGAGAGAGUUGAGUUAUGUUCUAGACUGGUGGCGGUCAGCGAGAGAGGUGAGUUUUGUACUAGAUGGGUGGGGGUCAGGGAGAGAGAUAUGUACUACACUGGUGGGGGUCAGGGAGAGAGUUGAGUUAUGUACUAGACUGGUGGGGGUCAGGGAGAGAGUUGAGUUAUAUACUAGACUGGUGGGGGUCAGGGAGAGAGUUUAGUUAUGUACUAGAGUUGUGGGUGUCAGGGAGAGAGUUGAGUUAUGUUCUAGACUGGUGGGGGACAGGGAGAGAGUUUAGUUAUGUACUAGACUCGUGUGGGUCAGGGAGAGAGUUGAGUUAUGUACUAGACUGGUGGGGGUCAGGGAGAGAGUUGAGUUAUAUACUAGACUGGUGGGGGUCAGGGAGAGAAUUGAGUUAUGUUCUAGACUGGUGGGGGUCAGGGAGAGAGGUGAGUUAUCUACUAGACUGGUUGGGGUCAGGGAGAGAGUUGAGUUAUGUACUAGACUGGUGUGGGUCAGGGAGAGAGUUGAGUUAUGUACUAGACUGGUGGGGGUCAGGGAGAGAUUUGAGUUUUAUACUAGACUGGUGGGGGUCAGGGAGAGAAUUGAGUUAUGUUCUAGACUGGUGGGGUCAGGGAGAGAGUUGAGUUAUGUUCUAGACUGGUGGGGGUCAGCGAGAGAGGUGAGUUAUGUACUAGACUGGUGGGGGUCAGGGAGAGAGUUGAGUUAUGUACUAGACUGGUGGGGGUCAGGGAGAGAGUUGAGUUAUGUACUAGACUGGUGGGGGUCAGGGAGAGAGUUGAGUUAUGUUCUAGACUGGUGGGGGUCAGGGAGAGAGUUGCGUUAUGUUUUAGACUGGUGGGGGUCAGGGAGAGAGUUGAGUUAUGUUCUAGACUGGUGGGGG
rnacentral:lncRNA from 1 species